rnacentral:rRNA from 1 species
CCGUAACUAUAACGGUCCUAAGGUAGCGAAAUUCCUUGUCGGGUAAGUUCCGACCUGCACGAAUGGCGUAAUGAUGGCCAGGCUGUCUCCACCCGAGACUCAGUGAAAUUGAACUCGCUGUGAAGAUGCAGUGUACCCGCGGCAAGACGGAAAGACCCCGUGAACCUUUACUAUAGCUUGACACUGAACACUGGUCCUUGAUGUGUAGGAUAGGUGGGAGGCUUUGAAGCGUGGACGCCAGUCUGCGUGGAGCCAACCUUGAAAUACCACCCUUUAAUGGCUGGUGUUCUAACGUAGACCCGUAAUCCGGGUUGCGGACAGUGUCUGGUGGGUAGUUUGACUGGGGCGGUCUCCUCCCAAAGAGUAACGGAGGAGCACGAAGGUUGGCUAAUCCUGGUCGGACAUCAGGAGGUUAGUGCAAUGGCAUAAGCCAGCUUGACUGCGAGCGUGACGGCGCGAGCAGGUGCGAAAGCAGGUCAUAGUGAUCCGGUGGUUCUGAAUGGAAGGGCCAUCGCUCAACGGAUAAAAGGUACUCCGGGGAUAACAGGCUGAUACCGCCCAAGAGUUCAUAUCGACGGCGGUGUUUGGCACCUCGAUGUCGGCUCAUCACAUCCUGGGGCUGAAGUAGGUCCCAAGGGUAUGGCUGUUCGCCAUUUAAAGUGGUACGCGAGCUGGGUUUAGAACGUCGUGAGACAGUUCGGUCCCUAUCUGCCGUGGGCGCUGGAGAAUUGAGGGGGGCUGCUCCUAGUACGAGAGGACCGGAGUGGACGCAUCACUGGUGUUCGGGUUGUCAUGCCAAUGGCACUGCCCGGUAGCUAAAUGCGGAAGAGAUAAGUGCUGAAAGCAUCUAAGCACGAAACUUGCCCCGAGAUGAGUUCUCCCUGAGACUUUAAGUCUCCUGAAGGAACGUUGAAGACGACGACGUUGAUAGGUCGGGUGUGUAAGCGCAGCGAUGCGUUGAGCUAACCGAUACUAAUGAACCGUGAGGCUUAACCUU